rnacentral:rRNA from 1 species
GACGAACGCUGGCGGCGUGCCUAAUACAUGCAAGUAGAACGCUGAAGAGAGGAGCUUGCUCUUCUUGGAUGAGUUGCGAACGGGUGAGUAACGCGUAGGUAACCUGCCUUGUAGCGGGGGAUAACUAUUGGAAACGAUAGCUAAUACCGCAUAACAAUGGAUGACACAUGUCAUUUAUUUGAAAGGGGCAAUUGCUCCACUACAAGAUGGACCUGCGUUGUAUUAGCUAGUAGGUGAGGUAACGGCUCACCUAGGCGACGAUACAUAGCCGACCUGAGAGGGUGAUCGGCCACACUGGGACUGAGACACGGCCCAGACUCCUACGGGAGGCAGCAGUAGGGAAUCUUCGGCAAUGGGGGCAACCCUGACCGAGCAACGCCGCGUGAGUGGAGAAGGUUUUCGGAUCGUAAAGCUCUGUUGUAAGUCAAGAACGAGUGUGAGAGUGGAAAAUUCACACUGUGACGGUAGCUUACCAGAAAGGGACGGCUAACUACGUGCCAGCAGCCGCGGUAAUACGUAGGUCCCGAGCGUUGUCCGGAUUUAUUGGGCGUAAAGCGAGCGCAGGCGGUUUGAUAAGUCUGAAGUUAAAGGCUGUGGCUCAACCAUAGUUCGCUUUGGAAACUGUCAAACUUGAGUGCAGAAGGGGAGAGUGGAAUUCCAUGUGUAGCGGUGAAAUGCGUAGAUAUAUGGAGGAACACCGGUGGCGAAAGCGGCUCUCUGGUCUGUAACUGACGCUGAGGCUCGAAAGCGUGGGGAGCGAACAGGAUUAGAUACCCUGGUAGUCCACGCCGUAAACGAUGAGUGCUAGGUGUUGGAUCCUUUCCGGGAUUCAGUGCCGCAGCUAACGCAUUAAGCACUCCGCCUGGGGAGUACGACCGCAAGGUUGAAACUCAAAGGAAUUGACGGGGGCCCGCACAAGCGGUGGAGCAUGUGGUUUAAUUCGAAGCAACGCGAAGAACCUUACCAGGUCUUGACAUCCCGAUGCUAUUUCUAGAGAUAGAAAGUUACUUCGGUACAUCGGUGACAGGUGGUGCAUGGUUGUCGUCAGCUCGUGUCGUGAGAUGUUGGGUUAAGUCCCGCAACGAGCGCAACCCCUAUUGUUAGUUGCCAUCAUUCAGUUGGGCACUCUAGCGAGACUGCCGGUAAUAAACCGGAGGAAGGUGGGGAUGACGUCAAAUCAUCAUGCCCCUUAUGACCUGGGCUACACACGUGCUACAAUGGUUGGUACAACGAGUUGCGAGUCGGUGACGGCAAGCUAAUCUCUUAAAGCCAAUCUCAGUUCGGAUUGUAGGCUGCAACUCGCCUACAUGAAGUCGGAAUCGCUAGUAAUCGCGGAUCAGCACGCCGCGGUGAAUACGUUCCCGGGCCU